UGGGGGAUAUUGCACAAUGGAGGAAACUCUGAUGCAGCGACGCCGCGUGAGGGAAGAAGGUCUUCGGAUUGUAAACCUCUGUCCUUGGGGACGAAGGAAGUGACGGUACCCAAGGAGGAAGCCACGGCUAACUAAGUGCC
rnacentral:rRNA from 1 species